CCUGCACCUGCCGGCGACCGGCGCACGGGUGAGUAACACGUAUGGAACCUGCCCGCCACAGGGGGAUAACCCGGGGAAACCCGGCCUAAUACCCCAUGCCGCCCGGACCGGGCAUCCGGUCCGGGCGAAAGGAGGAAUCCGGUGGCGGCUGGGCAUGCGGCGCAUUAGCUUGACGGCGGGGUAACGGCCCACCGUGGCGACGAUGCGUAGGGGUUCUGAGAGUAAGGUCCCCCACACUGGUACUGAGACACGGACCAGACUCCUACGGGAGGCAGCAG
rnacentral:rRNA from 1 species